rnacentral:lncRNA from 1 species
GAAAUCUGCAGGUUAAACUUAAAAGCUUAAGCCAGAUGCAGUGGUGUGCACCUGUAGUCCAGCUCCCUGCCCCUCCAGCUACUUGGGAGGCUGAGGUGGGAGGAUUGCCUGAGCACAGGAGUUGGAGGCCAGCAUGGGCAACAUAGUGAGACCCCCAUCUCUAAAAAUAUUUAUUAAUAAAUAAUUUUUAAAGGAUGUGUAAUUUUUGAAAAGCUUAAGGGAAAAUCAGUUUUCAAUUUAAAACAUUCACAUAAAAUUUAAAACAAAAGUAGAACCUGAAUAGUCUUUUAUGUGUCAGUGCUCCCCUGCUUUCCUCAGAAUACCAAAAAUUGCUCAUUGACAGAAAGAGUCCCAGGCCUCUAAGCACAAUGUGGAAAUGAUUGCUCUAAGCUGUGGUCAGUCACCAAAAGGUAACUCUGAACCAGGCACUGUCGUUUACAGAUUUGCUCACUGAAUUGUCACAAUAGCUCUCUGCUGCAGGGAUUAAUUUUAGUCCUAGUUUUACCAGUGAAGCAACUAAGGCUCCCAGCCAGGACAUGGCAGAGCUGGAGUUCACGAAGUCCAUGUUCUUAGUCACUAUGACAUGUGCAGUGUAAUCCCUCUGCAUUUCGUUUUUUUCACUUUGUUUUCAAAGAGUAAUGCAACAACAACAUAGAGGAUGGAUUGAUGAGAAGAUAGAGCCAGGAGGCCAGAGAAAACACCAGAGGCAACUACUGUGUAUACAACUAUAUCCAAAAAGCAGCAAGGCCUCAUUACUCAGCGGACAGAAACAGAGCAUUCCCCAGACCAACUGUGGGCAAUGCCUACCCUAUGUGCAAGAGGAGACCAAAGAGAUACCUAGUACCUGCCUUCAAGGGGCUACCAACAUCCCUUUGUUCCUGGCAUUCAGGUAUCUGCCAUCCACAAACAGGCUAAGUAGGUCAGUCCAAUCUGUAUUAAUGAGUUCUGAAAUAUCUUCCAUAAUUUAGGAUCUGGUCUUGCCUUGAAGUUGCCAGGUUCUAGAAACUUUGUUAUUUCUACUUUUGUUCACUUGUAUCAUCAAAGGGAUAGAACACAUAAUCAUUUUUUCCAUUGUAUUAGCAGGACACAUCCCAG